rnacentral:lncRNA from 1 species
UGGGGAGGUUGCCAAGUAGAGGUACAGCAUUUCUCCGACUUCUGACUUUACAAGUAGUGGCGGGGAGGCCAGAUAUCUUUUCAGAUCCUUGAAGGCCUGUCGGCACUCGUCCGGCCAAGAGAAGUCCUUCGCCUGCCUCAGGAUUUUGAAGAACGGAAGGCACUCUCUGCCGAUCGAGAGAUGAAUCGACUGAGCGCGAUGAUCCUUUCGUUAAGCUGUUGUACCUCCUUUUUGGUGCCCGAAUGCCGCAUGUCGAUGAUCACCUUUAUCUUCUCAGGGUUAGCCUCAAUUCCUC